CACCACAGUAACCAUGCCUGCUGCCUUAAGAGUUGUUAAAUCACUGAAUCCUCCAUCUGAUCAGUCGGUUGAGUGUGUCUGCAGUUGAUUCACAUCAGCCCGAUCUUUAUCCCGAGGAGAAGCAGAAUGACAUUCACAGUAUCAAACAGCUAAAUGACAGAGUUGGUGCACUGCAUCCUUGGACUGUCCCUGAAAGUGUCGGUUCCCAGACAUACCAGGAGAGAGAACAUUGUGGACGCUGCUAAGAUGAUCAUCUGAAGAAUGGCCAGCUAAACCAGAAGUGUGGGCUUGAACCAAUUCCAAGCAGUGCCUGGAAGUAAUGGGCCUUCCAGUAAAGUUACUCAAAGAACUCAAGAGUACUAAUGACAGACUUGAUGGUGAGGACGAGGGAAC